rnacentral:rRNA from 1 species
AGAGUUUGAUCCUGGCUCAGGAUGAACGCUGGCGGCGUGCCUAACACAUGCAAGUCGAGCGAUUCACUUCGGUGAAGAGCGGCGGACGGGUGAGUAACGCGUGGGUAACCUGCCUCGUACACAUGGAUAACAUACCGAAAGGUAUGCUAAUACAAGAUGAUAUAAGAGAUUCGCAUGGAUUUCUUAUCAAAGCUCCGGCAGUAUGAGAUGGACCCGCGUCUGAUUAGCUAGUUGGUAAGGUAACGGCUUACCAAGGCGACGAUCAGUAGCCGACCUGAGAGGGUGAUCGGCCACAUUGGAACUGAGACACGGUCCAAACUCCUACGGGAGGCAGCAGUGGGGAAUAUUGCACAAUGGGCGAAAGCCUGAUGCAGCAACGCCGCGUGAGCGAUGAAGGCCUUCGGGUCGUAAAGCUCUGUCCUCAAGGAAGAUAAUGACGGUACUUGAGGAGGAAGCCCCGGCUAACUACGUGCCAGCAGCCGCGGUAAUACGUAGGGGGCUAGCGUUAUCCGGAUUUACUGGGCGUAAAGGGUGCGUAGGUGGUUUCUUAAGUCAGGAGUGAAAGGCUACGGCUCAACCGUAGUAAGCUCUUGAAACUGGGAAACUUGAGUGCAGGAGAGGAAAGUGGAAUUCCUAGUGUAGCGGUGAAAUGCGUAGAUAUUAGGAGGAACACCAGUAGCGAAGGCGGCUUUCUGGACUGUAACUGACACUGAGGCACGAAAGCGUGGGGAGCAAACAGGAUUAGAUACCCUGGUGGUCCACGCCGUAAACGAUGAGUACUAGGUGUCGGGGGUUACCCCCCUCGGUGCCGCAGCUAACGCAUUAAGUACUCCGCCUGGGGAGUACGCUCGCAAGAGUGAAACUCAAAGGAAUUGACGG